rnacentral:sRNA from 1 species
UCACUUCGUCCGUGCUUGUGCGCUUUAA